rnacentral:rRNA from 1 species
GUGAGGAAUUUUCCGCAAUGGGCGAAAGCCUGACGGAGCAAUGCCGCGUGAAGGAUGAAGGCCUAUGGGUUGUAAACUUCUUUUCUCAGAAAAGAAUUAUGACGGUAUCUGAGGAAUAAGCAUCGGCUAACUCUGUGCCAGCAGCCGCGGUAAGACAGAGGAUGCAAGCGUUAUCCGGAAUGAUUGGGCGUAAAGCGUCUGUAGGUUGUUUAAAAAGUAUUCUGUCAAAGAUUAGGGCUUAACCCUAGAUAGGCAGAAUAAACUUUUAAGCUAGAGUUUGGUAGAGGCAGAGGGAAUUCCCGGUGGAGCGGUGAAAUGCGUAGAUAACGGGAGGAACACCAAAGGCGAAGGCACUCUGCUGGGCCAAUACUAACACUGAGAGACGAAAGCGAGGGGAGCAAAUGGGAUUAGAAACCCCUGUAGUCC